AUUGAACGCUGGCGGCAGGCCUAACACAUGCAAGUCGAACGAGUGGCGGACGGGUGAGUAAUUUCUUGGAACCUGCCUGAUGUAGGGGGAUAACUACUGUAACCGGUAGCUAAUACCGCAUACCGUCCGAUCUGCCCAGGUUGGAUUAGCUUGUUGGUGGGGUAACGGCUCACCAAGGCGACGAUCCCUAGCUGGUCUGAGAGGAUGACCAGCCACACUGGAACGGAGACACGGUCCAGACGCCUACGGGAGGCAGCAGUGGGGAAUAUUGCGCAAUGGGCGAAAGCCUGAUGCAGCCAUGCCGCGUGUAUGAAGAAGGUCUUCGGGUUGUAAAGUACUGUCAGCGGGGAGGCGUUACCCGAAGAAGAAGCACCGGCUAACUCCGUGCCAGCAGCCGCGGUAAUAC
rnacentral:rRNA from 1 species